UCAGACUUUCAAUGCUCCAAACCCUAACCCUUUUUUCAUUAGCCGCUUACAUGAGGAAAAUAAAAAAGAAGGUCUAAACUUCUCCCUUCAAUAUUAGGCCGACCAAUGGUUACUCGCGAUUGUUCAUCUGCCUCUCACUUUGACUCCCUAGAACGGUCGAUCAAGGUUUUAUUGAACUAAGGAGAUUCAUGGGUCUCGUUUACCAGCCCCAAAUCGCCACUGUGUUUCGAUGGUGGCGAAACAAGCGGAAACUCGAAGGCUUCGGAACGCAGGUAAGCUUCGUCACUUUUCUUUUUCUUGUUGAUGAUGAAGUAACAGAGGACUCGAGUAGAUCAAAAAAAGAAAGGAAAAGCAGAGAGUUAAAAAGAGAGAAGGGAAAAUCACCUUCUUUUCGUCUAUUGCCUUUUUUCUUUGCUAUUGCAUAUGUUUUCUCUAUGUUUUCAAAAAGGGAACCCCUUUACAAUCAGAAUCAGUAGGCUUUAUAGCCAAAUGCUAAUAAAAAAUACAAUGUUUUUUCUUUCUUUCUAUUUGCUGUUGUGUCUGUUGUCAUUUUGUCCAUUUCUUCGCAGGCACAGGUGCGUGGAGCUCGGGUACGGGAUAGUGUUGGCGUACGGAGGAUGUGCUGGACGGUACGGAGGCCAGGGUUGGCGUGGACGGAGGCGCAAGCAGACAGCUAGGGCUCUGUCUAAUUUUAGUGUUUUUGGGCCUAUCGGGCCUUGAAGCUUUGGACUGUUUUGUAAAUGGGCUAGGGUAUUAAUUUUAGUGGGCUGUUUGGGCUUGUAAUAGGUCACUAACUAAAUGGACUUUAUUUUAUUUUAUUUAUUUAUUUUUGGGUUUCAAGGGGGCCGGGCAAAUUGGCCUAUUUACAGUGAUGUAAUUGAUCUAUACCGUUGGAUUUGAGGAGGUUCAACUAUAAAUAAAGGCCUCUCCCUUCAUUGUAAACAGACACUGGAGUUUUGGGAAACAAUAAAAAUUUUUGAGAGCUUUCACUCAAA
rnacentral:lncRNA from 1 species